UGGGGAAUAUUGGACAACGGGCGCAAGCCUGAUCCAGCCAUGCCGCGUGAGUGACGAAGGCCUUAGGGUUGUAAAGCUCUUUUGGCGGGGAAGAUAAUGACGGUACCCGCAGAAUAAGCUCCGGCUAACUUCGUGCCAGCAGCCGCGGUAAUACGAAGGGAGCUAGCGUUGUUCGGAAUCACUGGGCGUAAAGCGCACGUAGGUGGGCAGUUAAGUCAGGGGUGAAAGCCCGAGGCUCAACCUCGGAAUUGCCUCUGAUACUGGCUGUCUAGAGUUCGAGAGAGGUGAGUGGAAUUCCUAGUGUAGAGGUGAAAUUCGUAGAUAUUAGGAAGAACACCGGUGGCGAAGGCGGCUCACUGGCUCGAUACUGACACUGAGGUGCGAAAGCGUGGGGAGCAAACAGGAUUAGAUACCCGUGUAGUCCCUGAGCGGGCUGGCAAGGCGCAU
rnacentral:rRNA from 1 species